AUUCCAGCUCCAAUAACGUAUAUUGAAGUUGUUGCAGUUAAAAAGCUCGUAGUUGAAUUUUGGGUUUGAUAUUACGGUCUCGUCGUAUGACUUGCACUGUGAAAUCGAAUCUUUCCUUCUAGGGAACUAUUGUGCCAUUAAUUUGGUGCGAUUGGGAACUAGGACUUUUACUUUGAAAAAAUUAGAGUGUUUAAAGCAGGCUUACGCUUGAACACAUUAGCAUGGAAUAAUAAAAUAGGACUUUGGUUUUAUUUUGUUGGUUUUCAAGACCGAAGUAAUGAUUAAUAGGGUCAGUUGGGGGCAUUAGUAUUUUAUCGUCAGAGGUGAAAUUCUUGGAUUGAUAAAAGACUAACUUCUGCGAAAGCAUUUGCCAAGGAUGUUUUCAUUA
rnacentral:rRNA from 1 species